CAGGGGAAGGGCUGGCGGUUGGGGGAUCCCCGGUAACUCCCCAACGGCCACCCAGUCCCCAGCACGAGCGCCUCGCCCACCGCUCUGGCGCCGGCCAAUCGCAACGCUGCGCACGUGACGAGCGUUCCCUGCGAUGACCUCAUCCCUGGUGUGGGAUGACGUCAAAUUCAAGAUGGAUGGAAUCACGGCGGUGGCAGCAGCGCGCGCGGGCGAAUCGUGAAGGGAGGCGCCGAGGGGGGCAGCAGGGUGGGGUGCGGCUAACGGCGGAGACGAUAAACCCAAAUCAUGGAGGGACUCUUGCAUUACAUAAACCCAGCACAUGCCAUUUCUCUCUUAAGUGCUUUGAAUGAGGAGCGUCUAAAAGGACAAUUAUGCGAUGUUCUUCUUAUAGUCGGAGACCAAAAAUUUAGAGCUCAUAAAAAUGUUCUGGCUGCCAGCAGUGAAUACUUCCAGACUCUCUUCACAAAUAAAGAGAAUGAGUCCCAAUCAGUGUUUCAGCUUGACUUUUGUGAACCAGAUGCUUUUGAUAAUGUAUUAAACUACAUUUACUCUUCAUCUUUGUUUGUUGAGAAAGGCAGUCUUGCAGCUGUUCAAGAACUGGGCUACAGCCUUGGAAUUUCCUUUCUUACUAACAUUGUUUCUAAGAGUCCUCAAGCUCCUUUUCCAACAUGUCCCAUUAAAAAAAUAUUGUUUCAAGAAGAUGAUGAAAGUAGUUCUCAGAAAAGAAGUGUCAUUGUUUGUCAGAGCAGAAAUGAAACACAAGUUAAAAAUGUCAGUCAAACACAUGAUUUAAGCCAUAGUUCUAAGCCCUUGCACUCCAUUGCCGUUAAAACCAACAAUAGACCACAAAUAACAAAGCCAAUUGAACCACUUCACAGUUUAUCAUUAAGUGACAGAAGGUGGCUAAAAGACAGUCCUGUGAGCUACACCAAACUUCAAGAACCUUCUGGAACUGUGGAUGACCCAAGUAGAAGUGGCUCAGUGAAGAGGAAUGCAGUAUUGUCACAAAUGCCUUUAGCUGAGAAAGAAACUUCAUGUGAUGAGCCAGGAGUGAGUGGUCAGCUUCUAAAAGGAAAAGCUGCAGAGAUGUCAUUAAAAAGACCACGUCCGCCAAUCUUAUCUCUGCAUGGUUCAUCAGAAUCUACAUUUUUGCUGCAAGAGACAGGAAAAGGAAAUGGUCAAGGAGAAGACAGGAAUUUGCUGUACUACUCCAAGUUAGGACUAGUGGUUCCAGCUCGUGGAUCUGGUUCUGAAAACCAAAGCAUUGACCGGAGUGGCCCGCUUGUAAAAAGUCUCCUUCGAAGGUCAUUGUCCAUGGAUAGUCAGGUUCCUAUGUAUUCAUCGUCUGUUGAUUUUAAAACUUCACAUGGAUCAUCAUUGGUGACUAGUGACUCACAGGGGAAAAUAUUUAAUGCUGUGUCUCAAAAAUCAUCCUUCAAAGAGUCCUCAGAAAAGGGUGUCCUUGAUGACAAGAUACAGGUAAUACACCCACACCGCCUUAGGUCCUUUAGUGCCUCUCAGUCGACUGAUAGGGAGGUAGCUUCUCCUCUAACUGAUGUACGCAUAAAAACUGAACCUAGCAGCCCACUUUCAGAGCCUUCUGAAAUAAUAAGAAUUACAGUAGGAGAUGCUUCAACAUCUGCCAGUAAAGAGUUCUCUUUUAAAACUGAGGAUGAUAAUAGGGAUAUGAGUAGACUUCCAGCAAAAAGGAGGUUUCAAGCAGAUAAAAGGCUGCCAUUUAAAAAGUUAAAAGUGAAUGAGCAUGGUUCUCCUGGGUCAGAGGAUAACUUUGAGGAAAGUUCAAGUCCUACACGUCUUGAUGCUGACUUUCCAGAUUCUGAUGUCAGUAAAGAUGAAUACAGUGAAUUGGAAGAAGUGAGACCAAACAGAAAGUUCAAAUGCAAGCACUGCCUUAAGAUUUUUAGAUCUACAGCAGGCCUUCACCGUCAUGUUAAUAUGUAUCAUAAUCCAGAGAAACCAUAUGCUUGUGAUAUAUGCCAUAAGAGAUUUCACACAAACUUCAAGGUAUGGACUCAUUGCCAGACACAACAUGGAAUUGUGAAGAACCCCUCACCUGCUUCCAGUUCACAUGCUGUCUUGGAUGAAAAAUUCCAAAGAAAAUUAAUUGAUAUUGUGAGAGAGAGAGAGAUUAAAAAAGCGCUAAUUGUUAAACUACGACGUGGCAAACAAGGUUUUCAGGGACAGUCCAGUUCACAAGCACAGCAAGUCAUCAAGAGGAACUUACGAUCAAGAUCCAAAGGAGCCUACAUUUGUACCUACUGUGGGAAAGCUUAUCGUUUUCUCUCUCAAUUUAAACAGCACAUAAAAAUGCAUCCAGGGGAAAAACCAAUUGUAGGAAAUAAGGCUUCUAAGCAAAAAGAGCAAAUUCAUAUUGCAAGUCCAGUUGAAAACAAAGAGGUCUAUCAGUGCCGUCUUUGUAAUGCUAAGCUCUCCUCUCUUAUUGAACAGGGAAAUCAUGAGCGACUUUGUAGAAAUGCAACAGUCUGUCCUUAUUGCAGCCUUAGAUUUUCUUCUCCAGAGCUGAAGCAUGAACAUGAAAGCAAGUGUGAAUAUAAGAAGCUCACUUGUCUUGAGUGUAUGCGCACUUUUAAAUCAUCCUUUAGCAUCUGGCGUCAUCAAGUUGAAGUUCACAAUCAGAAUACCAUGGCCCCAACAGAGAAUUUUUCUUUACCUAUUCUUGAUCACAAUGGUGAAAUAACUAGUGCUUCAAGAGUAAAUUCUCAAUCAGAAUCUAAUAAAAUGAACAAUUUGGUUAUGGCAAAGGAAGAUGGAGUAUUCAGUGAUUCUUCGGAACAAAUUAAUUUUGAUUCUGAAGAUUCUUCAUGCCUCCCAGAAGAUCUGAGUGUUUCCAAACAGUUUAAAAUUCAUGUAAAAGAAGAGCCUCCAGAUGAUAUAGAGGAUGAGGUAACUGAAACCAGUAGAGAAGCUAAGGAAGUUGUUUCUAAUAAAGACAGUGGCUUAUGGCCCUGUGAAAAGUGUGGGAAAAUAUUUACUGUACACAAACAGUUGGAGCGUCACCAGGAGCUUUUGUGCUCUGUAAAACCAUUUAUUUGUCAUGUGUGCAACAAGGCCUUCCGGACCAAUUUCCGUCUGUGGAGCCACUUCCAAUCUCAUAUGUCACAGGCUGCAGAAGAAUCGGUGAAUAAAGAUCCCGAGGUAUGUCCACCAGCUAAUUCCCCAUCACCACCACCUUUGCCUCCACCCCCACCUCUACCUAAAAUCCAGCCCUUAGAGCCUGAUAGUCCAACACGUUUAUCUGAGAGCCCAACUACUACUGAGAAAUUAUUCGUUCCACAAGAAUCGGAUACGCUCUUUUAUCAUGCUCCACCACUGUCAGCAAUCACAUUCAAAAGACAAUAUAUGUGUAAACUUUGUCACAGGACAUUCAAAACUGCAUUUAGUCUUUGGAGCCAUGAACAGACACACAAUUAGCUACUGAUCUUCAACAGGCAGUUUAAAAAAGUGGCUAAAUGGAGACCAUUUCCUGGAUAGUUCAGAAAUACGCUAUAUAAACUAGAAAUCUAAAAGGACAAGAAACAUCAAAAAAGUACAAAUGGAUUUAUGAUGCUGCUUGGAUUUGAAGAUUAAGGGGAAGAAAUCUAUGUGGACAAAAUGUGAAAGCAAGGUUUUAAAAUUGAUUCCUAAGUUUUCACCAUUGAUUCCCGUACAAAACAGAAUGAUAUUUCCAUUUAGUUUGUUGAUAAUCUGUGCCUACCCUUCUAAGAAUGAAUAUACCCUUCUAAGAGAAAAUCUGAUGACCAGUUCAGCUAUCGAAUAAUCCUAAUUUUCAACUGAAGCACUUCUUUGAUGCAUUUUUGGGAUAGUAAGAUUAUAAAUAGCAUACAUUUAACAACUUUUGUGCUACAUUUUGAAGAAAUCUUGACUUUUUCCAAGUGUAAUAUGUAUUGAAAAAAUUAUAUAACUAGGGUUUUUUAAGUUUGUUAGAUUAUUUUUUUAAAAGUUUUUAAUUUUGAGCAUGUUCUGUGUUUUUUAAAAUUAGUUCCUGUUUGUUGUCCAAUAAAGGAAUACAGGAUCUCUAAAUAAAAUUUUAAAUAUGAGAUAUUUAUACAGCAAUUCUGGUUUUCUAUUAGCUUUUAUAUGGUAUCUUAAAAAGCCCUGAGACAGAAGUGUUUAUUUUGGAGGAUAUGGAAUAAAUAUGCUGCCACGUGUAAUUUUAAUAUAUGUUAGAAAAGUUAAAAUAUGGAAUAAAAUGUUAGUUACUUGUUUAUACAAUAAAGGUCUUUUAAAGAAUGUCUAGUUUGGCCAUACAAGAAUAAUAGGUAAAUUUAUUGAUACAAAAAAAACCCUUGUCUUCGUUAUAUUUUGUUUAGUUUUGCAACUGUGGAUACUAAAGGCCUUGGCUUUUUGUAUAAUUAUUUAACAAUUGCAGAAAGUUUGUAUGAUUUCUCUUAAACGUUGAAGUUUUGUACUCUUUUUUUCAUGGCCUGACAGAAACAUGCAGAUGUUUUAAUAUAUAAUUCAGAAUUUAAUUCUUUCUUGGUUUGUUUUGUCCUUCAUCAACAAAAUUUGACAGAGGCUCAGCUGUUCCAACUGAUUUAGUUGAGAUUGGUCCUGCUUUGAGCAGGGGGUUGAACUAGACCUUGUCCUGAGCUUUCUUCCAACCCUAAUCUUCUAUGAUUCUGUGAAGUAAGUGACAAUUCCUAUUUACUUUAGUGGGAACAGGAUUGGGCCUGUGAAGUAACGCUAAUUCAUGUAGAUACUGAUUCGGCUAAGCACAUGCUUGAUUCCCACUAUAGUCUUAGAAUGUGAUUAGCAUUGAGUAUAUUCUUAAAUGCUGUGCUGAAUGGGACCCACAAUAAACCACUCAAAGUAAGCAAUGGAAAUAAUUACAUGUUUUGGACUUUUAAAUGGUAGAAACAACUUUUUUUAUAAGUGAAUAUUCUUCUGAAUAAAGGCUACAUAAAUAGCUAGUGUGUAAUUCUGCAAUUUUACCAAAAUAGACAAAGGGCAUGAAACAGUAGUGCUAUUUUGUAACUUUUUUCAAGAAAACAAUAGACAGUUGAACUUCAGCGAUUACACUUGAGUUGUCAGUCUUGUUUCAGAACAUAACUAUAUAGCCUUACAACCCUCCAGUGAACCAAAACAUACAGCUGUAGGGGACCAGCCUCCUGCAUUCCCUCCUAGGGCAAAGCUCCCAUUGACAUGCCUGAGGGCUCUUUACCCAAGUUGAAAGUGCAAGUAUCUUCCAGAUUUGAAUUAUACUAAGAUUUUUCCCAAAUCUAUUGACAUCAGUGGAAGUUCCUGUGUGAGACAAGAAUAGCAUAUGGCCCUAAGUCCUUAGCUGUUAUGGUGCAAAUAUCUGGCAUGUGCCUAUAAAAUCUGGCAUGUGCCUAUUGUCUGUUUACAUUUUCUUACCAGAAGAUCUAGAUGAAAAUCAAAGCAAGAUAGAUUUCUUUUAAGUUGUAAUUAAUGAAUCAGUGUUAAAAAAAACUGUGUUGAACUCAGCCUGAUAGUAUUUGGGUUUUUGUUUUGUUUUUAGGUCCUAUUGAUUCUUGAUUGUUUAAAAUGACUUGUGACAAAAAUUGUACUAUCGGGAUAAACAUGCUGUAAAUGUUAACAAUACUUUAUAUUAAUCAAACUAGUAUAUAUUUAAAACCCAGUGGUUAACAUUUAAAAUGUUUGGGCAUAAAAAUCCCAAACUGGGAUACUCUCAAACUUUGGCAAUGUGUCUGAAAUAUGAAUCUUAGCUUUGUGGCUUGGAUCCACAUUUGCCUGUUGUAUUUUUGCUAUUCUGAGACAGUUAAAACAGACACAUCAGUUCCCCUUUCUAGUUCUCAUACAGUGGCACACAUACAGUGUCUGGAUUUCCAUCACUACAGCUGAGUGUUAAAUUUAAAACACUCUUUAAAAAUACAAUAUUUGAAAAUGUAUGAAUGGUUACGAAACCAAAACCUUCGGGGUCUAACCUUGACAGUGUCCCUUUUAAAAAAAAAAAAAAAGAAAGAAAGAAAGAAAACCAGUGAUAGUGUGAUCAUUUGUAGUGUAUGGUCUCCACUUUGUGGAAGCUUGAGUAAUCCAACAUAAACAUGCAAACUAGUAUUUUCCAACUUAAAGCUACGUAAAAUCACUUGUCAUUUUAAAGUGUUAUAGAAUUAAGACAAAUAAAAGCUGUUUUAUAAUCCUGUAUAUCAUGUUGCCAUUGUAUAUUGGUUCAGUUACAUCAGUGUUGGAUUUUAAUUAUAGGCUUUUACUUUUUUAAGACUGAAAAUUAGUAGUUUAGGAUAACUCUUUAAUGUAAUGUAAAUCCAUUGCUGCUUUGUAUGACCUUUUUCUACUGUGUGUUUUCUUUACUUAGAUUUUGACUAAGAAAUGUUGGAGUCCAAUAAACUUACACUUGUUUCUUUUGAGUUAUUGUCUCAUGUUGGAAUCUUUUGGCAAAUUUGAUAUAUUAUUUUAUAGUGAGGUGGGAAUUUUGCUCACAAAGGGGUAGGUUUCAAUCUAUAUGCUUUGUGUAUAUAUAGCGUGACCAUUUGUAGUUGGUGUGAUUAGGAUUAAAAUAAUGCUUUAGGUUUGUUUUCAAUAAAUAUCUGACUGAAAUCUAAAGAAA